GGAAGACAGUGAGCAGCACCUGUGUAACCUCACAGACAGGAAGACAGUGAGCAGCACCUGUGUAACCUCACAGACAGGAAGACAGUGUUCAACGUGCUUCAUUCAGAACAACCUUUGGUCCGACAGAAAACAACAUUCAUUCAAACCAUUAUGCAACCUCUCUGUUGGAGUUAGAGGCUGGGGACGAUGUUGACAGUGGAACACUUUGUAACCUCCGGACUAAACUGUUGCUGUUAGCAGGUACUAUGUCUUUUUGUAACACUGUCUAUGGGUUGUUUAGAACAAACAGUGGGACCUCUAAGAUGAUAGAGGGAGAGAGAGACACGGGACCAGAACAGGACAGUUCUUUUGUGUCAGUGUUUUUGGAGGAAAUGUAAAGGAUACAUUUUAUACAAAAGUGAAGCCGCUUCAAAUACCCAAAACCCCUUGUCCCCUGAGCCUUCCCAAUCCCAAACAUAUACCCAGCCCUGCCCAGCCUCUACACUCACGUCACCUGGUCUAACCUAUUCAUGACAGGAUAUACCCAGCCCUGCCCAGCCUCUACCCUCGCUUCACCUGGUCUAACCUAUUCAUGACAGGAUAUACCCAGCCCUGCCCAGCCUCUACCCUCGCUUCACCUGGUCUAACCUAUUCAUGACAGGAUAUACCCAGCCCUGCCCAGCCUCUACCCUCGCUUCACCUGGUCUAACCUAUUCAUGACAGGAUAUACCCAGCCCUGCCCAGCCUCUACCCUCGCUUCACCUGGUCUAACCUAUUCAUGACAGGAUAUACCCAGCCCUGCCCAGCCUCUACACUCACUUCACCUGGUCUAACCUAUUCAUGACAGGAUAUACCCAGCCCUGCCCAGCCUCUACCCUCACUUCACCUGGUCUAACCUAUUCAUGACAGGAUAUACCCAGCCCUGCUUAGCCUCUACACUCACGUCACCUGGUCUAACCUAUUCAUGACAGGAUAUACCCAGCCCUGCCCAGCCUCUACCCUCACUUCACCUGGUCUAACCUAUUCAUGACAGGAUAUACCCAGCCCUGCCCAGCCUCUACCCUCACUUCACCUGGUCUAACAUAUUCAUGACAGGUCUAACCUAUUCCUGACAGGUCUGGUCUAACCUAUUCCUGACAGGUCUGGUCUAACCUAUUCCUGACAGGUCUGGUCUAACCUAUUCCUGACAGGUCUGAUCUAACCUAUUCAUGACAGGUCUGGUCUAACCUAUUCAUGACAGGCCAGGUCUAACCUAUUCAUGACUGGUCUAACCUAUUCAUUACAGGUCUGGUCUAACCUAUUCAUGACAGGUCUAACCUAUUCAUGACAGGUCUGGUCUAACCUAUUCCUGACAGGUCUGGUCUAACCUAUUCCUGACAGGUCUGGUCUAACCUAUUCAUGACAGGUCUGGUCUAACCUAUUCAUGACAGGUCUGGUCUAACCUAUUCCUGACAGGUCUAACCUAUUCAUGACAGGCCAGGUCUAACCUAUUCAUGACAGGCCAGGUCUAACCUAUUCAUGACAGGCCUGGUCUAACAUAUUCAUGACAGGCCAGGUCUAACCUAUUCAUGACAGGCCUGGUCUAACCUAUUCAUGACAGGCCAGGUCUAACCUAUUCAUGACAGGCCAGGUCUAACCUAUUCAUGACAGGCCUGGUCUAACCUAUUCAUGACAGGCCAGGUCUAACAUAUUCAUGACAGGCCAGGUCUAACCUAUUCAUGACAGGCCUGGUCUAACCUAUUCAUGACAGGCCAGGUCUAACCUAUUCAUGACAGGCCUGGUCUAACCUAUUCAUGACAGGUUUGGGUAAAUAACAGGAGAAAUGUGAUGACUAAAACACCAGAGAACUGGGGAGAAAAUAGGAGUCAACGUCAUAAACUGACUGACAUACAAUGAGUGUACAAAACAUUAAGAACACCUUCCUAAUAUUGACUUGCACCCUUUUGCCCUCAGAACAGCCUCAAUUUGUCGGGGUAUGGACUCUACAAGGUGUUGAAAGCGUUCCACGGGGAUGCAGUUGUGUCAAGUCAGCUGGAUGUCCUUUGGUUGGUUAACCAUUCUUGAUACACACGGGAAACUGUUGAGCGUGAAAAACCCAGCAACGUUGCAGUUCUUGACACAACGGUGCGCCCAGCACCUACUACCAUACCCUGUUCAAAGACACAUUUUUCUUGCCCACUCACCCUCUGAAUGUCCCACAUACACAAUCCAUGUCUCAAUUGUCUCAAGUCUUAAAAAUCCUUCUUUAACCUGUCCUUCACUGAUUGAAAUGGAUUUAACAAGUGACAUCAAUAAGGGAUAAUAGCUUUCACCUGGUCAGUCUAGGGGUGGCAGGUAGCCUAGUGGUUAGAGCGUUGGACUAGUAACCAAAAGGUUGCAAGAUCGAAUCCCUGAGCUGACAAGGUACAAAUCUGUCGUUCUGCCCCUGAACAAGGCAGUUAACCCACUGUUCCUAGGCCGUCAUUGAAAAUAAGAAUUUGUUCUUAACUGACUUGCCUAGUUAAAUAAAAGUAAAACGUAAUGGAAAGAACAGGUGUUUUUGUACACUCAUAAUGUUUUGUACACUCAGUGUAUAUGUAAAUAAAUGAAAUGUAUACACACAUUGAAAUGAAUUUCAAACCCAUUGAAGUGAAUGUAAUGUAUUUCAACACAGGGUAUUACAUUUGUAAAAAUGAAUCAAUCACUCACCACCAGCAUUUACUACAGGACUGAGUUCACGUCUCCGUGUUUCACAGCUGUGUUGUGAUUGGAUACGUUUUGCAGUUCUGGGCUCUCAUUGGAUGAUUUUGCCAGUUGUGGGCUUUCAUCUCACCCUGUGUCACUUGUUCUCAUUGAGUUAUUUGUUGUAAAUUGUCGCCAGCUGUUACUGUGUUAGACUGUCCUAUUAGGUCUCUGUUCUGUCUGUCACUCUGUCAGACUGUCCUAGCAGGACUCUGUUCUGACUGUCACUCUGUCAGACUGUCCUAGCAGGUCUCUGUUCUGACUGUCACUCUGUCAGACUGUCCUAGCAGGUCUCUGUUCUGUCUGUCACUCUGUCAGACUGUUCUAGCAGGACUCUGUUCUGUCUGUCACUCUGUCAGACUGUCCUAGCAGGACUCUGUUCUGACUGUCACUCUGUCAGACUGUUCUAGCAGGUCUCUGUUCUGACUGUCACUCUGUCAGACUGUUCUAGCAGGUCUCUGUUCUGACUGUCACUCUGUCAGACUGUUCUAGCAGGACUCUGUUCUGACUGUCACUCUGUCAGACUGUCCUAGCAGGACUCUGUUCUGACUGUCACUCUGUCAGACUGAUCUAGUAGGACUCUGUUCUGACUGUCACUCUGUCAGACUGUCCUAGCAGGACUCUGUUCUGUCUGUCACUCUGUCAGACUGAUCUAGUAGGACUCUGUUCUGACUGUCACUCUGUCAGACUGUCCUAGCAGGACUCUGUUCUGUCUGUCACUCUGUCAGACUGUCCUAUUAGGUCUCUGUUCUGUCUGUCACUCUGUCAGACUGUCCUAUUAGGUCUCUGUUCUGUCUGUGACUCUGUCAGACUGUUCUAGCAGGACUCUGUUCUGACUGUCACUCUGUCAGACUGUCCUAGCAGGUCUCUGUUCUGACUGUCCUAGCAGGUCUCUGUUCUGACUGUCCUAGCAGGUCUCUGUUCUGACUGUCCUAGCAGGUCUCUGUUCUGACUGUCCUAGCAGGUCUCUGUUCUGACUGUCCUAGCAGGUCUCCACAGCAUUCUGGGAGUACUGUUCUGUCUGUAAAGUCAAAUCCCCUGGUUGCUCGUUUUAUGUUUUCUAUUGUAAACAAUGAGAUGCUUUUGGAAUAAAAGUCUAAAG
rnacentral:lncRNA from 1 species